rnacentral:rRNA from 1 species
CCUACGGGUGGCUGCAGUAAGGAAUAUUGGUCAAUGGACGGAAGUCUGAACCAGCCAUCCCGCGUGCAGGAAGAAGGUCCUAUGGAUUGUAAACUGCUUUUAGCAGAGACGAAACGCCUUCAUUUAUGGGGGUUUGACGGUAUCUGCGGAAUAAGCACCGGCUAACUCCGUGCCAGCAGCCGCGGUAAUCCGGAGGGUGCAGGCGUUAUCCGGAAUCACUGGGUCUAAGGGGUGCGUAGGCGGGGGAUGAGAAAGCCUUUAGCUUAACUACAGAAUUGCCAUUGAUACUGAUUUUCUUGAGUUGGGUUGAGGUUAGCGGAAUGUGACAUGUAACGGUGAAAUGUUUAGAUAUGUCAUGGAACACCGAUUGCGAAGGCAGCUAGCUGGGCCUUGAUUGACGCUGAGGCACGAAAGCGUGGGUAGCGAACAGGAUUAGAUACCCCUGUAGUC